CAGGAAAGAUUCCUGGCACAGCGGCUGGGAACACGUGAUAAGAUGUUUUCCAGGGAUGGGUUAAUAUGAUACCAAGUCAAGCCACCAGCCGUCAGCAUUGGACAGAAUACCAUUCGCCGACUAGGCAGUCACAAAAAGAGCUUCAUCCCAUGUCUACAUCCUGCUGAUAUGCUCUCGGCUUGCCAUAUGUUUUAGUUCUCUAUUUUUCUAUGUAUUCCUCUGCAAAGUAAAUGUGAUUCUGUGAUUAUCGUGUUUAUCGAUAAAGGGCUACACGAGGAAAGUACUUUUUUAAUUAGAAAUUGUAAAACUGUUUUUUUUUUCUGAAUUAUUAAAUAAACAACUGUAGAAAAAUA